GGAAGCUUACUCACGCACGGAAAUAGCACAGCGAAUCGGAAGUAUACUCACGCACGGAAGGAGGUGGCUGCCGCUACUCGGAAGUCACCACAGCGAUUCGGAAGCCUAAAAAUCAUUCCCCCAAUUUCACGAGAGAGAGGAGGCCGGUGCUAGGGUUCCUGAUUUAGAUUCGCGAUGACCUGAGGCAGACGCACGGGCUCGCCUGCUCGCCAACAAGGAGGUCCUCCACCACAUCCAAUCGUUGAAUCCUUACCCAAAUUCGUGUGAGACAGAGGUGGCCGCCGCUAGAGCUCACGACGCGAAGUUGCGCCAACCUGAGGCGGACGCACGGGCUCGCCAGCUCGCCGACGAAGUCCUCCACCACAUCCCGGCAUAAGGAGGCUGCGAGGGCUCGCGAGCUCGCUGACGAAGAGGUCCGCUGCUACAUCCCAGCCUAAAGCGUCUGGUACAGCUCGUGAUUCAGAAUCACGACGGCCUGAGGCGACCGCGAGGCCUCGAGAGCUCACUGGCGAGGAGGUCCUCAUCGACGAGGAGGUCGAGAUCCUGAAGGGCUCCUCCAUAAGCAUCCUGAGUUCGUACACAAACAUCAUUGUCCCCUGCUACAACUACUAAUCCAGAAAUUGCUUAAAUGAGUUGUCAUGGAGGUUGUGAAAAGGAUGAGUUAUCCCCAGUAGCAGAUAUACUGGCUCAGGAUAUUCAUUAGCUUCCCAUGAGGAACUAAAGGAAGGAAGACAGAUAAGCCGUGCUGAGCUCUAUAGCAACACAUACAGAACAAAUGGGCAGCCAAUUGAUGACUAAAGCUUUGAAAAAAUACAGCUUGAUUAUUUGUCAGUCAUAAAACAGAUGAUGCUGGUGCUCGUUUAAUCAACUUGAUUCAGAGAUAUAUCAGCUCUGGGUUAUCUGAAUCAUGGACGCUUUCUCCCUCUACUUCUUUAUCUACAUCUUUUGUUGCACUACUUCCAUUUGCAUCAUUUAAGAUUGGGGACCUACACAAAAGGACUUGGGAAUAUCAUUUGAAGAUAGAUAUUUGAUUAUUUUUCUACCUUAUUGAUUGUGUUUGGUACAAAUAUAACUCUGUAUGCCAGAAAGAUUUAAAUGAUUGGAUUGUGCUGUUAAUAUCUGCUUUCA